CUGCGGAAGACAUUGUCGAAACCUGCCCAGCAGAGAGACUAGCGAAUCGGUUCCAACACCUUCGGGGGCCAGGGUCGCAACCGCGCUCUGGACCCACCACGCCGGGUUCGUGUGGCCCCGGCCCGCGAGCUCGGUUUCUAACAAACCCCGGCGCGGAAUGCGUCAAGGAAGAAUAAUGUAACGAGACUGUCCGUCGUGGUCCCGGGAACGGUGCAUGCCACGACGGUCGCCUCGUGAACGGUUAUAGUACAAAACGACUCUCGGCAACGGAUAUCUCGGCUCUCGCAUCGAUGAAGAACGUAGCGAAAUGCGAUACUUGGUGUGAAUUGCAGGAUCCCGUGAACCAUCGAGUCUUUGAACGCAAGUUGCGCCCAAAGCCAUCAGGCCUAGGGCACGUCUGCCUGGGCGUCACACACCGUCGCCCCCCAACCCCUCGUCAACCAAGACGGAUGCGGGGGGAACGCGGAGGGCGUAAGAUGGCCUCCCGUGUGCGAACGUCUCGCGGUUGGCCAAAAAUCGUAGUCCGCGGUCACGUCGUCGUGGCAACAGGUGGUUGUCGAUCGGUCGGUGCCCCCGGCCACGCACGACGUGCAGCCUUCGAGACUCGAGACAGAACCCCACGCACMUUACGGGUGCUCGAAUGCGACCCCAGUCAGGCG
rnacentral:rRNA from 1 species